GUGCCGUAUCAUCCUCCUAGCUGAAUACUCUCGUUUCCCCCUGCAAAUAUACAGUAUGGGCAUCCUUUGUUAACAUAUCUCGUCAAAGCAGUGGAUUCAAAGCACAUUGUGGCCUCAGUAUAUUGAUGUGAAACCAUGCAGAAAAUGCUACUCUCUCGCAACCUUGUGGAUGUUCCCUAAGGAUCAGCAGCCUCUUGAAACAGUUGAAGCCAUUAUCGAAUUCCUUGCGUCUAUGUUCCCUGGAUCUGAAAGCAGUGCAUAAUGCAGGAGAUUCUACCCAAAAGCUAACCCACUGAGCAGCGCCAGAUUGACGUUGCUCUAUCCCUUAUUGUUGAACGCCAAACAAGGUAGCAGCAACUCCCG